GCCAUCUUUGGAACGCUCCCGGGAAGCUAUUUCCAGUUAUGAAAUUGCAGCUCCAAUCUACUUGAAUGGAAAAAGACCGAAAGCUCCAAAACUGUUGGUCAAGAUUACGAUCAAAGCAGUCAAAUCUGACAACACUGGUAUCAUAAAUUGUGCUUCUUUACCUUAGAUUACGCUAAAAAAAAAAAAAAAAAAAGGAUUGUGUAGCUAAUGCACAUGCGCGUGCUCGAGUUGAUUGGCAGGCGAUGGCUGUAUCUAAAAGUUUGUGCUGCCAGUGGCAGUGCCUGGAGCCCUUGGCCUGAUGUCUGCCACUGUUUUUGCUGCAAGCAAAGCCAAACAAAAUAGCACCACCCUAAUGACUGAUGAGCUCUCGCUGUAUAACACACCUGAGUCUCAGCUUAAGUAUGAGGAGCCUGAGGUUGGCCAUGUUGAGCAGGGUGUGGCAUCUCUGAGAAAGACAGCAGAACCUUAUAUGUCAUGGUGUCAGGAAAAGACACAGUUUGCCAUUGAGAAAGUACAGUCUUACUACAAGACUGUUGAGCCUGGUGUGAAUACCACCCAAAAGAUUGUAAGGGAUAUACAUGAGUUUUUAAACGACCCUCCAUCUGAGUUCUACCCCAGUAUGGGUGUUGUAGGCUUCUCUGGAAUUCUGGGACUUUAUCUUGCGAAAGGCAGCACAGUGAGAAGGCUGAUCUUCCCCACUGGGCUAAUGGCUCUGAGUGCCUCUGUGUUCUACCCACAGCAUGCUGCCUCUGUUGCCAGGUUCACAAAAGACUACAUACAUUCCUGGAGUUCAGAAGGACGAGUUGUGUUGGAGGAGCUGCUGAGAGGGAAGUCAUCAUCCAAAGGGUUUAAUAUGACGUCGGCCCACCCUUUGCAGCUAUAACAGCUUCAACUCUUCUGGGAAGGCUUUCCUCAAGGUUUAGGAGUGUGUUUAUGGGAAUUUUUGACCAUUCUUCCAGAAGUGCAUUUGUGAGGUCAGACACUGAUGUUGGACGAGAAGGCCUGGCUCGCAGUCUUCGCUCUAAUUCAUCCCAAAGGUGCUCUGUUGGGUUGAGGUCAGGACUCUGUGCAGGCCAGUCAAGUUCUUCCACACCAAACUCGCUCAUCCAUGUCUUUAUGGACCUUGCUUUGUGCACUGGUGCGCAGUCAUGUUGGAACAGGAAGGGGCCAUCCCCAAACUGUUCCCACAAAGUUGGGAGCAUGGAAUUGUCCAAAAUCUCUUGGUAUGCUGAAGCAUUCAGAGUUCCUUUCACUGGAACUAAGGGGCCAAGCCCAGCUCCUGAAAAACAACCCCACACCAUAAUCCCCCCUCCACCAAACUUCACAGUUGGCACAAUGCAGUCAGACAAGUACCGUUCUCCUGGCAACCGCCAAACCCAGACUCGUCCAUCAGAUUGCCAGAUGGAGAAGCGUGAUUUGUCACUCCAGAGAACGCGUCUCCAAUGCUCUAGAGUCCAGUGGCAGCGUGUUUUACACCACUGCAUCCGACGUUUUGCAUUGCACUUGGUGAUGUAUGGCUUGGAUGCAGCUGCUCGGCCAUGGAAACCCAUUCCAUGAAGCUCUCUAUGCACUGUUCUUGAGCUAAUCUGAAGGCCACAUGAACUUUGGAGGUCUGUAGCGAUUGACUCUGCAGAAAGUUGGCGACCUCUGCGCACUAUGCGCCUCAGCAUCCGCUGACCCCGCUCUGUCAUUUUACGUGGCCUACCACUUCGUGGCUGAGUUGCUGUCAUUCCCAAUCGCUUCCACUUUGUUAUAAUACCACUGACAGUUGACUGUGGAAUAUUUAGUAGCGAGGACAUUUCAUGACUGGACUUGUUGCACAGGUGGCAUCCUAUCACAGUACCACGCUGGAAUUCACUGAGCUCCUGAGAGCGGCCCAUUCUUUCACAAAUGUUUGUAGAAGCAGUCUGCAUGCCUAGGUGCUUCAUUUUAUACACCUGUGGCCAUGGAAGUGAUUGGAACACCUGAAUUCAAUUAUUUGGAUGGGUUGAGAAGACACAGAAAACAGACAGUCAAAAGUCAAGUUGAGACAAAGCAGUAAGGAGUCACUGGUUUGAACCUGGAUUCUGUUCACUUAUAAAUGCACAUUGGUAUUUGCUACAGCAACUUGCUAAUAAUAUUUACUGUAUAGUUAACAUUAGUGACAAACAUUGUCAAUUACAUCUUGUUUUUGUAUAUGUAGUAUGUGCAAUACGUAAAUUUAAAUUGAGUUAUAUUUAAUGUUGUGUACAGUACCCAGUUCUCCUGCAGUAGUUUUUUUAAUUAUUUGGACCAACCUGAAAAGAAGACCAACUACCUGACUUCAUUUGCCUUAUUUUUCAAACAACAUUUCAUGACUUUUAGGACAUUGGUCUAAUGUAUGGGUCUGAUUGCUUUUCCAGAGUUUUCGGUACAAGUGCUGGCUUUGUUUUCUCUUGAAAUUUCAAAUUUAUAUGUUUUUAUAAUCAUCACAUUAACGAUUUCAAAAAUCGCAUCGACAAGAGUCUGUCCCAUGUUACAUGAACUUGGCCUAGUCUGGACAUUCACAAAGGGGCAUUCUGCAAAGUACAGCACCCUCCAUGACAGUUAUAUAACCCAUUUGUUCUCAUUUAUAGUGCACAAUAAAUGUCACAAUAAAAAAUAUUUAUAGGCAUAAA